CCUACGGGAGGCAGCAGUGGGGAAUAUUGCACAAUGGGCGCAAGCCUGAUGCAGCCAUGCCGCGUGUGAAGAAGGCCUUCGGGUUGUAAAGCACUUUCAGCGGGGAGGAAGGCGUUAAGGUUAAUAACCUUGGCGAUUGACGUUACCCGCAGAAGAAGCACCGGCUAACUCCGUGCCAGCAGCCGCGGUAAUACGGAGGGUGCAAGCGUUAAUCGGAAUUACUGGGCGUAAAGCGCACGCAGGCGGUCUGUCAAGUCGGAUGUGAAAUCCCCGGGCUCAACCUGGGAACUGCAUUCGAAACUGGCAGGCUAGAGUCUUGUAGAGGGGGGUAGAAUUCCAGGUGUAGCGGUGAAAUGCGUAGAGAUCUGGAGGAAUACCGGUGGCGAAGGCGGCCCCCUGGACAAAGACUGACGCUCAGGUGCGAAAGCGUGGGGAGCAAACAGGAUUAGACACCCUAGUAGUC
rnacentral:rRNA from 1 species